GCAGUCGAGCGAGCUGAAUUCAAAGAUCCCUUCGGGGUGAUUUGUUGGACGCUAGCGGCGGAUGGGUGAGUAACACGUGGGCAAUCUGCCCUAAAGACUGGGAUACCACUUGGAAACAGGUGCUAAUACCGGAUAACAACAUGAAUCGCAUGAUUCAAGUUUGAAAGGCGGCGCAAGCUGUCACUUUAGGAUGAGCCCGCGGCGCAUUAGCUAGUUGGUGGGGUAAAGGCCUACCAAGGCAAUGAUGCGUAGCCGAGUUGAGAGACUGAUCGGCCACAUUGGGACUGAGACACGGCCCAAACUCCUACGGGAGGCAGCAGUAGGGAAUCUUCCACAAUGGACGCAAGUCUGAUGGAGCAACGCCGCGUGAGUGAAGAAGGUCUUCGGAUCGUAAAGCUCUGUUGUUGGUGAAGAAGGAUAGAGGCAGUAACUGGUCUUUAUUUGACGGUAAUCAACCAGAAAGUCACGGCUAACUACGUGCCAGCAGCCGCGGUAAUACGUAGGUGGCAAGCGUUGUCCGGAUUUAUUGGGCGUAAAGCGAGCGCAGGCGGAAUGAUAAGUCUGAUGUGAAAGCCCACGGCUCAACCGUGGAACUGCAUCGGAAACUGUCAUUCUUGAGUGCAGAAGAGGAGAGUGGAACUCCAUGUGUAGCGGUGGAAUGCGUAGAUAUAUGG
rnacentral:rRNA from 1 species